rnacentral:rRNA from 1 species
CAAUGGGCGCAAGCCUGAUGGAGCAACACCGCGUGAGUGAAGAAGGGUUUCGGCUCGUAAAGCUCUGUUGUUAAAGAAGAACACGUAUGAGAGUAACUGUUCAUACGUUGACGGUAUUUAACCAGAAAGUCACGGCUAACUACGUGCCAGCAGCCGCGGCAAUACGUAGGUGGCAAGCGUUAUCCGGAUUUAUUGGGCGUAAAGAGAGUGCAGGCGGUUUUCUAAGUCUGAUGUGAAAGCCUUCGGCUUAACCGGAGAAGUGCAUCGGAAACUGGAUAACUUGAGUGCAGAAGAGGGUAGUGGAACUCCAUGUGUAGCGGUGGAAUGCGUAGAUAUAUGGAAGAACACCAGUGGCGAAGGCGGCUACCUGGUCUGCAACUGACGCUGAGACUCGAAAGCAUGGGUAGCGAACAGGAUUAGAUACCCUGGUAG